GAGGGAGGGCGCGACGGAGGUAGAGAGGAGCGGAGAGAGGGAGGGAGCGCAGCUUGGUUGCUCCGUAGUACGGCGGCUCGCGAGGGAGAGCCCCUCGCGGACUCGGGGACGCCCGGAGAGGCGGGCGGGCGGGGAUGGUGUGCGGGGCCGCGUCUCCUGCGUCCCUCCCCGCGGCGAGUGAGCUGCACUGAUUUGUCCCGGGGCGGGCAGCGCGGACCCGCCCGGAGAUGAGGCGUCGAUUAGCCAGGUAGAAGUGACAGAACCAUGGCUCAGUUUCCAACGCCUUUUGGUGGCAGCCUGGAUGUCUGGGCCAUCACCGUGGAGGAGAGAGCGAAGCAUGAUCAGCAGUUCCAUAGCUUGAAGCCAGUUUCUGGAUUUAUCACUGGUGAUCAAGCGAGAAACUUUUUUUUCCAAUCCGGGUUACCUCAGCCUGUUCUGG